CGCACAUUGCGCCCCCUGGUAUUCCGGCGGGCAUGCCUGUUCGAGCGUCAUUUCAACCCACAAGCUCAGCUUGGUAUUGGGAGCUGGCCCCUAGGGGCCUCCCCGAAAAUUAGCGGCGAUGCGACCGGAUUCCCAGCGCAGUGACUUUAAAUCUCGCUGAUUGGAUCCCCGGGCGAUGUCAGCCGGACAACAAACCAUUUAUUUUUCAAGAUUGACCUCGGAUCAGGUAGGGAUACCCGCUGAACUUAA
rnacentral:misc_RNA from 1 species